AUUGAACGCUGGCGGAAUGCUUUACACAUGCAAGUCGAACGGCAGCACGGACUUCGGUCUGGUGGCGAGUGGCGAACGGGUGAGUAAUGUAUCGGAACGUGCCCAGUCGUGGAGGAUAACGUAGUGAAAAUUACGCUAAUACCGCAUACGAUCUAUGGAUGAAAGCGGGGGAUCGCAAGACCUCGCGCGAUUGGAGCGGCCGAUAUCAGAUUAGGUAGUUGGUGGGGUACAGGCCCACCAAGCCAACGAUCUGUAGCUGGUCUGAGAGGACGACCAGCCAAACUGGAACUGAGACACGUUCCAGACUCCUACGGGAGGGAGCAGUGGGGAAUUUUGGACAAUGGGCGAAAGCCUGAUCCAGCCAUUCCGCGUGCAGGAUGAAGGCCCUCGGGUUGUAAACUGCUUUUGUACAGAACGAAAAGGUUUGUACUAAUACUAGGAGCUCAUGACGGUACUGUAAGAAUAAGCACCGGCUAACUACGUGCCAGCCGCCGCCGUAA
rnacentral:rRNA from 1 species